CUCUGCCGUGCCCCCACCAGAAAUCUGUGUCAUCGCCGGCCAACCUUGUAAAUAACAACUUUAACUGGAUUCUGCAACAAUAAGGACCAAGGAACUUGUAUUUCGUAAUGCACUAUAUUUUAUUGAAGUAUAGACUCAUCAAUUACCAUUAGUUGUUGUUCGUGACCUGGUAACAGUGUGAAAUUGUCGGAAACUUAAAGUUUUACAAGAUUCAAAAAUAGUUUCUCAUAUAAUGAACGAUAUAAUAUUUGUGCCAAUUGUUACUCAAUAUUGUGACCUAUUGCCCCUUCCUCCACCAGAUCCGUGUCUCCACCGGUCAAUUUAUCUGAUCUAUCAGUGUUCACCUAUUUGGCCAAACAAGGGUACUUAAAGCAAUGUGACUUUGUCAAGACUAUUAAAAA